rnacentral:rRNA from 1 species
AUCGAACGCUGGCGGCAGGCCUAACACAUGCAAGUCGAGCGAGCGGCGGACGGGUGAGGAAUGUCUGGGAAACUGCCUGAAGGAGGGGGAUAACUACUGGAAAAGGUAGCGAAUACCGCAUACCAUCAGAUGUGCCCAGAUGGGAGUAGCUAGUUGGUGGGGUAAUGGCUCACCUAGGCGACGAUCCCUAGCUGGUCUGAGAGGAUGACCAGCCACACUGGAACUGAGACACGGUCCAGACUCCUACGUGAGGCAGCAGUGGGGAAUAUUGCACAAUGGGCGAAAGCCUGAUGCAGCCAUGCCGCGUGUGUGAAGAAGGCUUUCGGGUUGUAAAGCACUUUCAGCGGGGAGGCGUUAUCCGCAGAAGAAGCACCGGCUAACUCCGUGCCAGCAGCCGCGGUAAUAC